CAGCAGAGGAGAGAAAGCAAGGCCCAGUCAUGGAAUGGGCUGGAAUUGGGAAUGGUGGAGUGCCCUAGUUUAGUAAAGAAAGAGGGCCAAGAGGGAGGAAGAAAGGGAAGGAGCACAAAAAUGAGGCAGAGGGGCCCGAAGGCAGCGAGGCUCCCAGGGAAAUCAGUGCUCUCGAGCCUGACAUUGUGCAGUAUUAAAAGACCCAAGAGUCCAUGGAAAAUGACAGAGUCUAUAAAAAAUAUAUAUAAGAUGAACUUGAAUUAUUUUUAAAUACAAGAAAAUAGGAAAAUGUUCACAGAAUAAUGAGGACAUACGAAAAGACUGAAACAGUAGCUUGAAUGGCUCCUGCUGGUCCGAUAGUUCAGCCCUAAACACAUGUGCAUAUUAGCGACAAUAAAUGGAUCCAGUAGGUUCAUACAUGUAUGACCACACCACGUGGGAACCUGGGAAUCGAACUGAGGUCCUCUUGCAAGAGUAACAAGCUGUCUAAACUGCUGUUCCAGCUCUCCAGCCUCUGAUACGUAUUUACAUUUAAACCCAGCCUGACAGAACAGAGUUAUAGCAAUUCUCUGAGAUAUAAACCAGUUAGAAGACUGAUUGGAUUACACUUAGCACCUGAAUGGUGACCAGAUGAGAGCACAGAAGAGGAUGGGCAAUUCCUAGGCUGGGGCCAACAAAUUUUCUACAGAGAAGCAGCACUGGCCCCUGGCAUUGGUGAGUCCUGGCUUCCUGACCCACAUGAAGGAUACCUAGGUACGGAGAACCUGUGAAGAGACCCCCUCAAGUGCUUCUGCCAAGCAUGGAAAGGAAGAUGUGGAUUUGCUGUUCUGAAUUUCUGAAGGCCAAUGAUGAAUUUCCAGAACUCUAGAGGUGGAGGGUUUGCUAUCAGUUGCAGGUGAAAUCACAGAAUCCAAGGGCCCACUUUAUGUACACAGCCCCUAAGCCUUGCUUCCUUUCCUUCAGAGCUCCAGGACUGGUGUAGCAGGAAGAUGCCAAAAAUGCUUACCUGUGCUGCAAACAAGGUGUGUUUUAAUAGCCAUGUGAGCAAGGAGGAAAAUAUUGCCCAGAUGAAGGCGAAGUCAGGAGGAUUCACAAUCCGUGGAAGACGCUAAACAAUGCUGAAUGUUGGACUGACCUCUGUCAGAAGAGAUGUUUGGUAAAGGAACUAUCCAAGACCUGCUGCAUUCGAUGCAUUUCCAAGUUCCUAAUGACGAUACAGACAGGGCACUUCCAGACACGUAGAUAAUGUAGACGGAACGUCCAGACACACAGAUGAUACCGACAGAAUGUUUAGAGACACGCAGACGAUACAGACAGGACAUUUACAGACUGUAGAUGAUGGAGACAGGUAGAGUGCAGACAUAUAGAUGAUGGUUAUGAGCGUGAUUAUGGGGCUGGGGAGGCGGGACGGCUGAUAAAGUGCUUGUCCUGAAAGCAUGAUGAGUGUAGUCUGAUCUCCAGGGCCCAGGUACAGUGGUUCAUGUUUUAACCCCAGUGCCAGGCUAGCAGAGCCUAGGUACAGCGGUUCAUGCUGUAACCGCAGUGCUGGGGCAGUGGAGACAGGAAGAUCCCUGGACCUGGCUGACCAGCCUGUCCACCUGAAUCAGCAAGCUCUAAGCCAUCAAGAGACUGUGCCCAUCCCCCUCCGUCCCCAACACACAAAACCUCAAACAAACAAACAAACAAACAAAAAACAAGCAAGCAAGCAAAAAAUAAAUAAAUAAAAACCAAGAUGCUUCUCAGGAUGGCACUCGAGGAGCAACAACUAAGGUUGACCUCUGGCCUCCCUACUGUUGUACAUACAUCUCCUGCACACACAAUAACACACAGGCGUGCACCACACUGCACAAAGUUAUCUUCGAAUAACUAAUUAGGGUUCAAAUCAGUUCAUUGAUGGAGUCCUAGGUGAUGUCUCUAACAGGAAAAUUCAUCAAAAACAAUACUGAAAGGUAGCAGUGGUGACACAGGCCAGUAACGUCAGCACGCAGAGGUUGAUGCAGGAGGACCGAGUGAGUGUUCGAGACCAGUGUGGGGUGCAGAAUGAGAAGACCUCGCAAACGAACCGACAAAGGCCCGAUAUUCAGCACAAGUUACAGAGACAAAUGACCGUAGGUUCCAUGUGUAGUUCGAAGUGAGAGGAAACGAACUGUGGGUUGUUUCAAGGAAUACCCAUCAGGGUGAAUGAUGGAGAAAAGUAAGGAAAAACAAUGACAAAAAUCAAGAGUUGUAGGAAUGGAGGGAAGGGUCCAAAGCAGGCUGAGGGGCAGGUGCUGUUCUGCUCUUGAUCAGGGACCUCCGUUGUUAUGGUAGCACUUUAAAUGACUGUAUCUGUUCAUAUGCCUUUUUGUGUAUUUGUUGCUAUUUGUUUAAGGGACGCUUUUACAGUCUUAUACCACCUUGCAGGAAAUAUCAAAUCCCAGAGUAAUCCAAUAAAGCAGAGCAUUUGACUGAUAGCAGGA